rnacentral:rRNA from 1 species
CUGUGUGUUGUUGGGUAGGGGAGCGUUCUGUAAGCCUGUGAAGGUGUACUGUGAGGUAUGCUGGAGGUAUCAGAAGUGCGAAUGCUGACAUAAGUAACGAUAAAGCGGGUGAAAAGCCCGCUCGCCGGAAGACCAAGGGUUCCUGUCCAACGUUAAUCGGGGCAGGGUGAGUCGACCCCUAAGGCGAGGCCGAAAGGCGUAGUCGAUGGGAAACAGGUUAAUAUUCCUGUACUUGGUGUUACUGCGAAGGGGGGACGGAGAAGGCUAUGUUGGCCGGGCGACGGUUGUCCCGGUUUAAGCGUGUAGGCUGGUUUUCCAGGCAAAUCCGGAAAAUCAAGGCUGAGGCGUGAUGACGAGGCACUACGGUGCUGAAGCAACAAAUGCCCUGCUUCCAGGAAAAGCCUCUAAGCAUCAGGUAACAUCAAAUCGUACCCCAAACCGACACAGGUGGUCAGGUAGAGAAUACCAAGGCGCUUGAGAGAACUCGGGUGAAGGAACUAGGCAAAAUGGUGCCGUAACUUCGGGAGAAGG